rnacentral:rRNA from 1 species
GUGCCAGCCGCCGCGGUAAGACGGAGGGUGCAAGCGUUGUUCGGAAUUACUGGGCGUAAAGCGCGGGCAGGUGGCCUUUUAAGUCCUUUGUGAAAUCCCGGGGCUCAACUCCGGAUGUGCAUAGGAUACUGGAAGGCUUGAGACAGGUAGAGGCGAGCGGAAUUCCUGGUGUAGCGGUGGAAUGCGUAGAUAUCAGGAAGAACACCGGUGGCGAAGGCGGCUCGCUGGGCCUGUUCUGACACUCAUCCGCGAAAGCGUGGGGAGCAAACAGGAUUAGAAACCCGCGUAGUCC